rnacentral:rRNA from 1 species
CUACGGGAUGCAGCAGUGGGGAAUAUUGCACAAUGGGCGCAAGCCUGAUGCAGCAACGCCGCGUGAGGGAUGAAGGCCUUCGGGUUGUAAACCUCUUUUAGCAGGGAAGAAGCGAAAGUGACGGUACCUGCAGAAAAAGCACCGGCUAACUACGUGCCAGCAGCCGCGGUAAUACGUAGGGUGCAAGCGUUAUCCGGAAUUAUUGGGCGUAAAGAGUGCGUAGGUGGUUACCUAAGCAGGGGGUGAAAGGCAAUGGCUUAACUAUUGUUAGCCCCCUGAACUGGGCUACUUGAGUGCAGGAGAGGAAAGCGGAAUUCCUAGUGUAGCGGUGAAAUGCGUAGAUAUUAGGAGGAACACCAGCGGCGAAGGCGGCUUUCUGGACUGUUACUGACACUGAGGCACGAAAGUGUGGGGAGCAAACAGGAUUAGAUACCCGCGUAGUC